GGCCUACGCAAUAAAAACUCAUGAACUCCGUCAGGUCCGGAGGAAGCAGCGGUAAGUGAGGACCUUUAUGUGCCGUAGGCAAACCUAACUUGAGUUAACUAUAUAAGUAACGCUUUUAUUUUACUGUCGACGCAAGGUGCACGA
rnacentral:SRP_RNA from 1 species